AAAUGAAUAGACGGGGAGGCGCACAACCAGUGGAGCAUGUGGUUCAAUUCGAUACAAAGCGAUGAACCUUACCUGGGCUUGAAAUGCACCUGCAGACUCCUGAAAGGGAGGGGCCUUCGAGGGUGGUGCACAGCUGUUGCAUGGCUGUCGUCAGCUCGUGACGUGAGUUGUUCUCUUAAGUGAGGUAACGAGCGCAACCCCCAUUCUGUGUUAUUGUGUCACAGAAGACUGCCUAGCAUUAUUUUGUUAGGAGGAAGGAGGGGACGACGUCAAGUCAUCAUGAUGCUUAUGUCCAGGGCUACACACAUCCUACAAUGGGUUGUACAGAGGGUUGCAAGACCGUAAGGUGGAGCCAAUCCCUAAAACACCCCUCAGUUGGGAUUGUGGGCUGCAAUUCGCCCACAUGAACCCGGAAUUGGUAGUAAUCGCAAAUCAGCAGAUUGCGGUGAAUACGUUCUCGCCUCUUGCACACACCGCCCGU
rnacentral:rRNA from 1 species